rnacentral:rRNA from 1 species
CCUACGGGAGGCAGCAGUGGGGAAUAUUGCACAAUGGGGGAAACCCUGAUGCAGCGACCCCGCGUGAGUGAAGAAGUAUUUCGGUAUGUAAAGCUCUAUCAGCAGGGAAGAAAAUGACGGUACCUGACUAAGAAGCCCCGGCUAACUACGUGCCAGCAGCCGCGGUAAUACGUAGGGGGCAAGCGUUAUCCGGAUUUACUGGGGGUAAAGGGAGCGUAGACGGCCAGACAAGUCAGAAGUGAAAGCCCAGGGCUCAACCCUGGGACUGCUUGUGAAACUGCCGGGCUGGAGUGCAGGAGAGGUAAGCGGAAGUCCUAGUGUAGCGGUGGAAGGCGUAGAUAUUAGGAGGAACACCAGUGGCGAAGGCGGCUGACUGGACUGUAACUGACGUUGAGGCUCGAAAGCGUGGGGAGCAAACAGGAUUAGAGACCCUAGUAGUC